UAAUACCAAUUGCCGAAGACAGUAGGUGACAUUAGUCGUAAAUCAUAAGAUGCCUACCGAGGGAUAAGAAUUUUUAAUGACUUAUACACCUCUCUGUCUAGGCAGAGAGGUUUUUAUAUUGA
rnacentral:sRNA from 1 species